UCCGAUCACGUGGGAAACGUCUUAAAGGCGCCGUUGAAAAAAGCGGAAACGAGGCGAAAAGCUAACAAACAAGCAAACAUUUAACAAUUGUUUAGGGUUAAUUAAUUGUUUUCUGUGUUUUUAUUCUUUACCUGAAUCGUGUCAAUGUUCCUCAGUGUGUUUAUGUGUUUCCCUAUGAACGAAAACAAGUAAUACCAAUAUGUAUUGAAUCUAUCUGACCAAAGGACGGAGCCAGGUGAAUGUGCAUCCCACUACAAGUCCAUUAAGUCGAUCUGCCGCCCUGAGGAUCUGACUGUGAGCUGGACACCCCCCGGUGGCUGAGAACAGGACACUUGGUUUCCCCAGCAACUAGGGCUCCAAUCGCCCAGCCAGCUGCAGAUUA